UCGAUAAUCCACGUGUACUCAACCUUCUUUUGACUACAGCAUGUGUACUGCCGUUGUAAGCAUACCUUUAAAAGUAGUGUGCCACUAUGAUAAUAUCUCAAGAACAUCAGGUCAAAGUGCAGCAAAUAAGAAGGUGAUGAUGGGUUACAACCCUAAAAUAGACUAUCAACUAAGAAAAUAAAAAUCUUAUGAAAGUGGACUUGGCCGUAAUUAAUUUUAUAGAAAAAAAAUGAAUUAUAUCUAAGACAUGCACACAUCGCCCGUCACUCUACCCUAAAGGAUAGAUAAGUCGUAACAAAGUAGGUGUAAUGGAAAUUGCACCUGUCGAAGUAUAGCAUAUAGAAUGCUUUUUACUUACACUAAAAAUAAAGUUAAUAACUUACUUCGCCCAUUUAACAAAAUCUUAUUAAUUAUCAAAAAAUAAAAACACCUAGAAAUACAUAAAUAAAGUACAGAAAUGGAAUAUUUAAUAAAUAAAAGUCAAUCUUAACAACUGUACCUUGUGCAUUAUGGUUUUACAAGAAAAUAAUUAAAACACCAAUCCCGAAUUCUAAAUGAGAUGUUAAACUGCUGUUAUGAACCCAUUAAUAGCUGUAGAAAAAGCUUUAAAAGACAGUUUAACAGAGGCUACAUACCAUUCGCAUAAGAAUAUAGCUGGUUUUCAACUAAAAUUAUACAUUAAACAUAUAAUAAAUUAUAGUGUUAUAUUAUUGAGGAUAAGCCCAAUAAUUUAUGCAAUAAGUAUACCCAUCUAUUACAAUUUACAGGCCUAAAAUCAGCCAAUAAUAAUACUUUACCGUAAUAAAUAAAGAUGUAAUAUAUAAUAUAACUAUGCUAAAGAAAGUUGAAAUAAUGGAUAAACUAGAUACCCCAUAUUUAAUAUGUAAAAAUAAGUAUUAUAAAUAAACAAAAUUAAUAACCCAGAAUAGUAAACAAAUAAGCACCAAUAAUUAAUUAAGGAACUCGGCAAACUACUAUUUCGACUGUUUAACAAAAACAUUGUCUUAUGAACUAAAUAUAAGAUAAUACGUGC
rnacentral:rRNA from 1 species